AGCGGCGGACGGGUGAGUAAUGCUUAGGAAUCUGCCUAUUAGUGGGGGACAACAUCUCGAAAGGGAUGCUAAUACCGCAUACGUCCUACGGGAGAAAGCAGGGGAUCUUCGGACCUUGCGCUAAUAGAUGAGCCUAAGUCGGAUUAGCUAGUUGGUGGGGUAAAGGCCUACCAAGGCGACGAUCUGUAGCGGGUCUGAGAGGAUGAUCCGCCACACUGGGACUGAGACACGGCCCAGACUCCUACGGGAGGCAGCAGUGGGGAAUAUUGGACAAUGGGGGGAACCCUGAUCCAGCCAUGCCGCGUGUGUGAAGAAGGCCUUAUGGUUGUAAAGCACUUUAAGCGAGGAGGAGGCUACUUUAGUUAAUACCUAGAGAUAGUGGACGUUACUCGCAGAAUAAGCACCGGCUAACUCUGUGCCAGCAGCCGCGGUAAUACAGAGGGUGCGAGCGUUAAUCGGAUUUACUGGGCGUAAAGCGUGCGUAGGCGGCUUAUUAAGUCGGAUGUGAAAUCCCCGAGCUUAACUUGGGAAUUGCAUUCGAUACUGGUGAGCUAGAGUAUGGGAGAGGAUGGUAGAAUUCCAGGUGUAGCGGUGAAAUGCGUAGAGAUCUGGAGGAAUACCGAUGGCGAAGGCAGCCAUCUGGCCUAAUACUGACGCUGAGGUACGAAAGCAUGGGGAGCAAACAGGAUUAGAUACCCUGGUAGUCCAUGCCGUA
rnacentral:rRNA from 1 species